CCUACGGGUGGCUGCAGUGGGGAAUAUUGCACAAUGGGCGAAAGCCUGAUGCAGCAACGCCGCGUGAGCGAUGAAGGCCUUCGGGUCGUAAAGCUCUGUCCUCAAGGAAGAUAAUGACGGUACUUGAGGAGGAAGCCCCGGCUAACUACGUGCCAGCAGCCGCGGUAAUAC
rnacentral:rRNA from 1 species